GUGGAGGCUAUAUACAGGGUGUUACGGUACAGAGUCAAUGUGGAGGCUAUAUACAGGGGGUUACGGUACAGAGUCAAUGUGGAGGCUAUAUACAGGGUGUUACGGUACAGAGUCAAUGUGGAGGCUAUAUACAGGGUGUUACGGUACAGAGUCAAUGUGGAGGCUAUAUACAGGGUGUUACGGUACAGAGUCAAUGUGGAGGCUAUAUACAGGGUGUUACGGUACAGAGUCAAUGUGGAGGUUAUAUACAGGGUGUUACGGUACAGAGUCAAUGUGGAGGCUAUAUACAGGGUGUUACGGUACAGAGUCAAUGUGGAGGCUAUAUACAGGGUGUUACGGUACAGAGUCAAUGUGGAGGCUAUAUACAGGGUGUUACGGUACAGAGUCAAUGUGGAGGCUAUAUACAGGGUAUUACGGUACAGAGUCAAUGUGGAGGCUAUAUACAGGGGGUACCGGUACAGAGUCAAUGUGGAGGCUAUAUACAGGGUGUUACGGUACAGAGUCAAUGUGGAGGCUAUAUACAGGGGGUACCAGUACAGAGUCAAUGUGGAGGCUGUAUACAGGGUGUUACGGUACAGAGUCAAUGUGGAGGCUAUAUACAGGGUGUUACGGUACAGAGUCAAUGUGGAGGCUAUAUACAGGUGGUACCAGUACAGAGUCAAUGUGGAGGCUAUAUACAGGGGGUACUGGUACAGAGUCAAUGUGGAGGCUAUAUACAGGGGGUACUUGUACAGAGUUAAUGUGGAGGCUAUAUACAGGGGGUACUUGUACAGAGUUAAUGUGGAGGCUAUAUACAGGGGGUACUUGUACAGAGUUAAUGUGGAGGCUAUAUACAGGGGGUACUGUCUUGGUUUGUUUGGACCAUGAUAGUUUGUUGGGGAACAG